rnacentral:tRNA from 1 species
UUAAUUAAAACCAAAAUAAUAGGUAUAUCAUUGUUAAUGAUAAAAUUGAAUUAAUUAAAUAUUCUAAUUAAA